rnacentral:rRNA from 1 species
GACGAACGCUGGCGGCGUGCUUAACACAUGCAAGUCGAACGGAAAGGCCCUGCUUUUGUGGGGUGCUCGAGUGGCGAACGGGUGAGUAACACGUGAGUAACCUGCCCUUGACUUUGGGAUAACUUCAGGAAACUGGGGCUAAUACCGGAUAGGAGCUCCUGCUGCAUGGUGGGGGUUGGAAAGUUUCGGCGGUUGGGGAUGGACUCGCGGCUUAUCAGCUUGUUGGUGGGGUAGUGGCUUACCAAGGCUUUGACGGGUAGCCGGCCUGAGAGGGUGACCGGCCACAUUGGAACUGAGAUACGGCCCAGACUCCUACGGGAGGCAGCAGUGGAGAAUAUUGCACAAUGGGCGGAAGCCUGAUGCAGCAACGCCGCGUGCGGGAUGACGGCCUUCGGGUUGUAAACCGCUUUCGCCUGUGACGAAGCGUGAGUGACGGUAAUGGGUAAAGAAGCACCGGCUAACUACGUG